rnacentral:rRNA from 1 species
CCUACGGGAGGCAGCAGUGGGGAAUAUUGGGCAAUGGAGGAAACUCUGACCCAGCAAUGCCGCGUGAAUGAAGAAGGUCUUCGGAUUGUAAAGUUCUUUAGUCAGGGAGCAAUUGGCGCUACGUUUAGCGUUAUCGCGCGUACCUGAAGAAAAAGCAUCGGCUAACUCCGUGCCAGCAGCCGCGGUAAUACGGAGGAUGCGAGCGUUAUCCGGAUUUAUUGGGUUUAAAGGGGGCGUAGGCGGAAUGCCAAGUCAGCGGUAAAAUCGCGGGGCUCAACCUCGCUCCGCCGUUGAAACUGGCGUUCUUGAGUGGGCGAGAAGUAUGCGGAAUGCGUGGUGUAGCGGUGAAAUGCAUAGAUAUCACGCAGAACUCCGGUUGCGAAGGCAGCAUACCGGAGCCCAACUGACGCUGAAGCACGAAAGCGUGGGUAUCGAACAGGAUUAGAUACCCGAGUAGUC